rnacentral:rRNA from 1 species
UACAGAGGGGGCAAGCGUUGUUCGGAAUUACUGGGCGUAAAGGGCGCGUAGGCGGCCUGUUAAGUCGAACGUGAAAUCCCCGGGCUCAACCCGGGAACUGCGUCCGAUACUGGCAGGCUUGAAUCCGGGAGAGGGAUGCGGAAUUCCGGGUGUAGCGGUGAAAUGCGUAGAUAUCUGGAGGAACACCGGUGGCGAAGGCGGCAUCCUGGACCGGUAUUGACGCUGAGGCGCGAAAGCCAGGGGAGCAAACGGG